rnacentral:rRNA from 1 species
GAAACUUAAAGGAAUUGGCGGGGGAGCACUACAACCGGAGGAGCCUGCGGUUUAAUUGGACUCAACGCCGGACAUCUCACCAGCCCCGACAGUAGUCAUGACGGUCAGGUUGAUGACCUUACUCGAGCUACUGAGAGGAGGUGCAUGGCCGCCGUCAGCUCGUACCGUGAGGCGUCCUGGUAAGUCAGGCAACGAGCGAGACCCGCACCCCUAAUUGCCAGCAGCACCCUCUGGGUGGCUGGGUACAUUAGGGGGACUGCCGCUGCCAAAGCGGAGGAAGGAACGGGCAACGGUAGGUCAGUAUGCCCCGAAUGGGCUGGGCGACACGCGGGCUACAAUGGCCGGGACAGUGGGAUGCGACCCCGAGAGGGGAAGCUAAUCUCCUAAACCCGGUCGUAGUUCGGAUUGAGGGCUGAAACUCGCCCUCAUGAAGCUGGAUUCGGUAGUAGUCGCGUCUCAGCAAGGCGCGGCGAAUACGUCCCUGCUCCUUGCACACACCGCCCGUCAAAAGCACCCGAGUGAGGUCCGGAUGAGGCCGUCGCAAGACGGUCGAAUCUGGGCUUCGCAAGGGGGCUUAAGUCGUAACAA